UACGUAGGGUGCGAGCGUUAAUCGGAAUUACUGGGCGUAAAGCGUGCGCAGGCGGUCUGUUAAGACCGAUGUGAAAUCCCCGGGCUUAACCUGGGAACUGCAUUGGUGACUGGCAGGCUUUGAGUGUGGCAGAGGGAGGUAGAAUUCCACGUGUAGCAGUGAAAAUGCGUAGAGAUGUGGAGGAAUACCGAUGCGAAGGCAGCCUCCUGGGGCCAACACUGACGCUCAUGCACGAAGCGUGG
rnacentral:rRNA from 1 species